UGGGGAAUAUUGCACAAUGGGCGCAAGCCUGAUGCAGCCAUGCCGCGUGUGUGAAGAAGGCCUUCGGGUUGUAAAGCACUUUCAGCGAGGAGGAAGGUGGUGAGCUUAAUACGCUCAUCAAUUGACGUUACUCGCAGAAGAAGCACCGGCUAACUCCGUGCCAGCAGCCGCGGUAAUACGGAGGGUGCAAGCGUUAAUCGGAAUUACUGGGCGUAAAAGCGCACGCAGGCGGUUUGUUAAGUCAGAUGUGAAAUCCCCGGGCUCAACCUGGGAACUGCAUUUGAAACUGGCAAGCUAGAGUCUCGUAGAGGGGGGUAGAAUUCCAGGUGUAGCGGUGAAAUGCGUAGAGAUCUGGAGGAAUACCGGUGGCGAAGGCGGCCCCCUGGACGAAGACUGACGCUCAGGUGCGAAAGCGUGGGGAGCAAAACAGGAUUAGAUACCCUGGUAGUCCACGCUGUAAAACGAUGUCGAUUUUGGAGGUUGUGCCCUUGAGGCGUGGCUUCCGGAGCUAACGCGUUAAAUCGACCGCCUGGGGAGUACGGCCGC
rnacentral:rRNA from 1 species